AUGGCGAUUAAGUUGUCGAAGUGGAACGGCCCGGUGGGCGUGAUUUCGCCAGCAGCAGGGACGAUUGGCGGCGGAGCCGCGACAGGAUCCACGACCGCAACCGAUCCCACGGGUGGCGGCGCGGGGACUAUCGGGAUCACGGCCGCGGGUGGUGCCGUGAGCGAGGCCGCGGGUGGCUCCGCGGGCAGCGUCUCCCCCGAGGUCGCCGGGAUGACGGCGAGUGUCGAGGAGGAUCCAGAGGAGGCCAUCGCGGGCGGCGGCGGCGGCGCGACUGGUGUUGAGGCCGUCGCGGGCGGUGACGGUGGGAUCGGCGCUGAAAACAGGGAGCCGACGGCGGUAGUGCCGAAGAACUGA
rnacentral:rRNA from 1 species